GACCAGACUCCUACGGGAGGCAGCAGUGGGGGAUAUUGCACAAUGGGGGGAACCCUGAUGCAGCGACGCCGCGUGGGUGAAGGAGUAUUUCGGUAUGUAAAGCCCUAUCGGCAGGGAAGAAGCAAGGCGGUACCUGACUAAGAAGCCCCGGCUAACUACGUGCCAGCAGCCGCGGUAAUACGUAGGGGGCGAGCGUUAUCCGGAUUCACUGGGUGUAAAGGGAGCGUAGACGGCCAUGCAAGCCAGGGGUGAAAGCCCGGGGCCCAACCCCCGGACUGCUCUGGAAACUAUGUGACUGGAGUGCAGGAGAGGUGAGCGGAAUUCCUAGUGUAGCGGUGAAAUGCGUAGAUAUUAGGAGGAACACCAGUGGCGAAGGCGGCUCACUGGACUGUAACUGACGUUGAGGCUCGAAAGCGUGGGGAGCAAACAGGAUUAGAUACCCCCGUAAU
rnacentral:rRNA from 1 species